rnacentral:rRNA from 1 species
UACAGAGGGUGCGAGCGUUAAUCGGAAUUACUGGGCGUAAAGCGCGCGUAGGCGGCUUUGCAAGUCGGGUGUGAAAUCCCCAGGCCUAACCUGGGAACUGCACUCGAGACUGCAUGGCUAGAGUAUCGGAGAGGGAAGUGGAAUUUCAGGUGUGAGCGGUGAAAUGCGUAGAUAUCUGAAGGAACAUCAGUGGCGAAAGCGACUUCCUGGACGAAUACUGACGCUCAUGUGCGAAAGCGUGGGGGAGCAAACAGG